CCUCAAUCCACGAAUGCCAAAGACAACUUAGAAGUCUAGGCAAUCAAUGAAACAAUGAAUCAAGCUGAAACAAUAAAUCAAGAGAUAUUUGCUGAUUCCAGGGGUAUAAAUGUUCACACUGAAAAUUUAAUCAGUUCCAGGAAGGCAACUGCUGGAGAGAGGCCCAUAGAAUGAUGCCUAGUCAAACCCAUUCUAGCAACAGUUGACCAGGAGCCAAGUGAUCUGCUUUUUCCAGGCCAACAGGAAUCAAUCCUAAUGAGUAUCCAGUUCAGCAGCUGAGUGACCUUCUUGAUCCAGCCUGGCAGGAAAAUGAUCCAUUCUGCUGAGAUGCCACAGGCACCUGAAAGGAGCCACCCCAGCUAAGCAGUGGAGCAACUAAUGCUAUGCCCCACAAUGAAGUCUGAGAAGGCUCUCCAUAAAAAGAAAAAACAUGAGGCCCUUCAUUACCCUGACCCCAUGCAUCCUCUACACAUGCGCUUCCCUACCAGCAUGCUGUAUGUCUAUUCCUACUCCUCCCAUUGUUGAUUUUGAAUAUGUCUGUGGUAAAUUAUGCCCAAGUUUUUCAUGCAAAGCGUACUUUAUUUUUUCCAGUUCCAUGUAAAGAUAGUUUUCAACACUCAUUUUUAUAGGAUUUUGAGUUCCAAAUUUUUCU